GACGAACACUGGCGGCGUGCCUAAUACAUGCGAGUUGAGCGCUGAAGGUUGGUACUUGUACCAACUGGAUGAGCAGCGAACGGGUGAGUAACGCGUGGGGAAUCUGCCUUUGAGCGGGGGACAACAUUUGGAAACGAAUGCUAAUACCGCAUAAAAACUUUAAACACAAGUUUUAAGUUUGAAAGAUGCAAUUGCAUCACUCAAAGAUGAUCCCGCGUUGUAUUAGCUAGUUGGUGAGGUAAAGGCUCACCAAGGCGAUGAUACAUAGCCGACCUGAGAGGGUGAUCGGCCACAUUGGGACUGAGACACGGCCCAAACUCCUACGGGAGGCAGCAGUAGGGAAUCUUCGGCAAUGGACGAAAGUCUGACCGAGCAACGCCGCGUGAGUGAAGAAGGGUUUCGGAUCGUAAAACUCGGUUGGUAGAGAAGAACGUUGGUGAGAGUGGAAAGCUCAUCAAGUGACGGUAACUACCCAGAAAGGGACGGCUAACUACGUG
rnacentral:rRNA from 1 species